rnacentral:rRNA from 1 species
AUUGAACGCUGGCGGCAUGCCUUACACAUGCAAGUCGAACGGUAACAGGUCUUCGGAUGCUGACGAGUGGCGAACGGGUGAGUAAUACAUCGGAACGUGCCCGAGAGUGGGGGAUAACGAGGCGAAAGCUUUGCUAAUACCGCAUACGAUCUCAGGAUGAAAGCAGGGGACCGCAAGGCCUUGCGCUCACGGAGCGGCCGAUGGCAGAUUAGGUAGUUGGUGGGAUAAAAGCUUACCAAGCCGACGAUCUGUAGCUGGUCUGAGAGGACGACCAGCCACACUGGGACUGAGACACGGCCCAGACUCCUACGGGAGGCAGCAGUGGGGAAUUUUGGACAAUGGGCGCAAGCCUGAUCCAGCAAUGCCGCGUGCAGGAAGAAGGCCUUCGGGUUGUAAACUGCUUUUGUACGGAGCGAAAAGGCUCCCUCUAAUACAGGGGGCUCAUGACGGUACCGUAAGAAUAAGCACCGGCUAACUACGUGCCAGCAGCCGCCGUAAGAC